rnacentral:rRNA from 1 species
CCUACGGGAGGCUGCAGUGAGGAAUAUUGGUCAAUAGCCGGAAGGCUGAACCAGCCAUGCCGCGUGAAGGUCAGUGCCCUAUGGGCGUUAAACUUCUUUUGUGCGGGAGCAAUAAUGGUCACGUGUGGCCAGACGAGAGUACCGUACGAAUAAGCAUCGGCUAACUCCGUGCCAGCAGCCGCGGUAAUACGGGAGAUGCCAGCGUUAUCCGGAUUUAUUGGGUUUAAAGGGUGCGUAGGCUGUGAGGUAAGUCAGCGGUGAAAUGCCCCCGCUCAACGGGGUGAAGUGCCAUUGAUACUGCCUGGCUGGAAUGCGGAUGCCGUGGGAGGAAUGUGUGGUGUAGCGGUGAAAUGCAUAGAUAUCACACAGAACACCGAUUGCGAAGGCAUCUCACGAAGCCGCGAUUGACGCUGAUGCACGAAAGCGUGGGUAUCAAACAGGAUUAGAUACCCGAGUAGUC